rnacentral:rRNA from 1 species
AGUGAACGCUGGCGGUAUGCCUAAUACAUGCAAGUCGAACGGCAGCACAGUAAGAUCUUGCUCUUACGGGUGGCGAGUGGCGGGCGGGUGAGGCAUACAUCGGAAUCUACUUUUUCUUGGGGGAUAACGUAGGGAAACAUACGCUAACACCGCAUAUGACCUACGGGAUAAAUCAGUGGAUCUUCGGACCUUUGGCGAUUGAAUUAGCCGAUGCCGGAUUAGCUAGUUGGCGGGGUAAAGGCCCACCAAGGCGACGAUCCGUAGCUGGUCUGAGAGGAUGAUCAGCCACACUGGAACUGAGACACGGUCCAGACUCCUACGGGAGGCAGCAGUGGGGAAUAUUGGACAAUGGGCGCAAGCCUGAUCCAGCCAUACCGCGUGGGUGAAGAAGGCCUUCGGGUUGUAAAGCCCUUUUGUUGGGAAAGAAAAGCAGCAGGUUAAUACCCCGCUGUUCUGACGGUACCCAAAGAAUAAGCACCGGCUAACUUCGUG